CCCGUUGUUACUAUGGCACUUGUUUGUUUACAGUACCUGUUGUUGCUAUGGUACUGACUGGCUGGGAUCGCCUUCCACCGCUUAUUCCAUAGAGUUCAAUUUCGUACUCAGUGGCCUCUCGGAGGCCUGUUAUGUCCCUGCAGUCCAGGACAGACGGAAACCACCUGGAGUGGCAUCUGAAACUAGAAGGUUGUCAACUUCCAGUUCAGCUUCUAGAGGAGAGAAGACAGCGGAAGAGGGAGGAAACAGAGCGUUAAUCAGCAGUCCACACAAUCUUCUUCCUGGUGGGAUACAGAGUAUGGUGGUAGCUCGGUUUUCAGGGACAGAGUAUCCGGAGAUACCAGGAAACAAAACCGUUCCAUAUUAAUAAGUCUAGUAGGGCGAGGAGAGGAAAAACGUGGGAUUGACACAUUCAAUACAAGCCAAGCAUACUCUUGCAUCUGUGAGUUUUGUCUAAAAGUAAUUGCAUAAAUCCACAUCUGGACUUAGCGCCGGCCCCUCCCAUGCAUUAUUAAAUAAGUUCAAAGCCAUAAUUUGUUUACAUUCUCUCUCUGUCUUCCAGUGGCUGAGUGCCCAUCCUCUGCGAGUGCCUUUUCUUUUCUUUUUGAAAAGACAAAUAAACCAGCUCUAAUGAUC